rnacentral:rRNA from 1 species
AUUGAACGCUGGCGGCAGGCCUAACACAUGCAAGUCGAACGAGUGGCGGACGGGUGAGUAAUGUCUGGGAAACUGCCCGAAGGAGGGGGAUAACUACUGGAAACGGUAGCUAAUACCGCAUACCAUCGGAUGUGCCCAGAUGGGAUUGGCUAGUAGGUGGGGUAACGGCUCACCUAGGCGACGAUCCCUAGCUGGUCUGAGAGGAUGACCAGCCACCCUGGAACGGAGACACGGUCCAGACUCCUACGAGAGGCAGCAGGGGGAAAUAUUGAACAAUGGUCUCAAGCCGGAUGCAGCCAUGCCGCGUGUAGGAAGAAGACCUUCGGGUUGUAAAGUACUUUCAGCGAGGAGGCGUUACUCGCAGAAGAAGCACCGGCUAACGCCGUGCCAGCAGCCGCGGUAAUUC